rnacentral:rRNA from 1 species
GACGGACCACACGAACGUUAUUCGGAAUUACUGGGCUUAAAGGGUGCGUAGGCUGUGCAGAAAGUUGGGUGUGAAAUCCCUCGGCUUAACCGAGGAAGUGCGCCCAAAACUACUGUGCUGGAGGGAGACAGAGGUGAGCGGAACUUAGGGUGGAGCGGUGAAAUGCGUUGAUAUCCUAAGGAACACCGGUGGCGAAAGCGGCUCACUGGGUCUUUUCUGACGCUGAUGCACGAAAGCUAGGGUAGCGAACGGGAUUAGAUACCCCGGUAGUCCUAGCCGUAAACGAUGAGCACUGGAUUGGAGGGUCCUCCAUAGCCUUCCAGUCGUAGCGAAAGUGUUAAGUGCUCCGCCUGGGGAGUAUGGUCGCAAGGCUGAA